AAGUCGAGCGGACUUGAUGAGAAGCUUGCUUCUCUGAGAGUUAGCGGCGGACGGGUGAGUAACACGUAGGCAACCUGCCUGUAAGAUCGGGAUAACUACCGGAAACGGUAGCUAAGACCGGAUAAUCGGUUUCUCCGCAUGGAGAGAUCGUGAAACACGGAGCAAUCUGUGGCUUACGGAUGGGCCUGCGGCGCAUUAGCUAGUUGGUGAGGUAACGGCUCACCAAGGCGACGAUGCGUAGCCGACCUGAGAGGGUGAACGGCCACACUGGGACUGAGACACGGCCCAGACUCCUACGGGAGGCAGCAGUAGGGAAUCUUCCGCAAUGGACGCAAGUCUGACGGAGCAACGCCGCGUGAGUGAUGAAGGUUUUCGGAUCGUAAAGCUCUGUUGCCAGGGAAGAACGCCAAGGAGAGUAACUGCUCUUUGGGUGACGGUACCUGAGAAGAAAGCCCCGGCUAACUACGUGCCAGCAGCCGCGGUAAUACGUAGGGGGCAAGCGUUGUCCGGAAUUAUUGGGCGUAAAGCGCGCGCAGGCGGUUUUUUAAGUCUGGUGUUUAAUCCCGAGGCUCAACCUCGGUUCGCACCGGAAACUGGGAGACUGGAGUGCAGGAGAGGAAAGUGGAAUUCCACGUGUAGCGGUGAAAUGCGUAGAGAUGUGGAGGAACACCAGUGGCGAAGGCGAC
rnacentral:rRNA from 1 species